rnacentral:rRNA from 1 species
UACAGAGGGGGCGAGCGUUAUUCGGAAUUAUUGGGCGUAAAGGGCGCGUAGGCGGCCGUGUAAGUCUUGGGUGAAAUCCCUCAGCUCAACUGAGGAACUGCCUCGGAUGCUGCAUGCUUGAGGCCGGGAGAGGGUAGUGGAAUUCCCAGUGUAGCGGUGAAAUGCGUAGAUAUUGGGAGGAACACCGGUGGCGAAGGCGGCUACCUGGACCGGCAUUGACGCUGAGGCGCGAAAGCCAGGGGAGCAAACGGGG